rnacentral:rRNA from 1 species
AACGAACGCUGGCGGCAUGCCUAACACAUGCAAGUCGAACGAGACCUUCGGGUCUAGUGGCGCACGGGUGCGUAACGCGUGGGAACCUGCACUUAGGUUCGGAAUAACUCCCCGAAAGGGGUGCUAAUACCGGAUAAUGUCUUCGGCCCAAAGAUUUAUCGACUUUGGAUGGGCCCGCGUUGGAUUAGCUAGUUGGUAGGGUAAAAGCCUACCAAGGCGACGAUCCAUAGCUGGUCUGAGAGGAUGAUCAGCCACACUGGGACUGCGACACGGCCCAGACUCCUACGGGAGGCAGCAGUGUGGAAUAUUGGACAAUGGGCGAAAGCCUGAUCCAUCAAUGCCGCGUGAGUGAUGAAGGCCUUAGGGUUGUAAAGCUCUUUUACCCGGGAUGAUAAUGACAGUACCGGGAGAAUAAGCUCCGGCUAACUCCGUG